rnacentral:rRNA from 1 species
AUUGAACGCUGGCGGCAGGCCUAACACAUGCAAGUCGAACGCGUGGCGGACGGGUGAGUAAUGUCUGGGACACUGCCUUAUGGAGGGGGAUAACUACUGGAAACGGUAGCUAAUCCCGCAUACCUUCAGAUGUGCACAGCUGGUAUUAUCUGGUUGGUGGGGUAACGGCUCACCAAGGCCACGAUCCCUAGCUGGUCUGAGAGGAGGACCAGCCACACUGGAACUGAGACACGGUCCAGACUCCUACGGGAGGCAGCAGUGGGGAAUAUUGCACAAUGGGCGAAAGCCUGAUGCAGCCAUGCCGCGUGUAUGAAGAAGGUCGUCGGGUUGUAAAGUACUUUCAGCGGGGAGGCGUUACCCGCAGAAGAAGCAACGGCUAACUCCGUGCCAGCAGCCGCGGUAAUUC